rnacentral:rRNA from 1 species
CUCGUAGGCGGUUCAGUAAGUCGGCUGUGAAAUUCCGAGGCUCAACCUCGGAACUGCAGUCGAUACUAUUGUGACUAGAGUCCGGUAGAGGAGAAUGGAAUUCCCGGUGUAGCGGUGAAAUGCGCAGAUAUCGGGAGGAACACCAGUAGCGAAGGCGGUUCUCUGGGCCGGUACUGACGCUGAGGAGCGAAAGCGUGGGGAGCAAACA